AUUGAACGCUGGCGGCAUGCCUUACACAUGCAAGUCGAACGGUAACAGGUCUUCGGAUGCUGACGAGUGGCGAACGGGUGAGUAAUACAUCGGAACGUGCCCGAUCGUGGGGGAUAACGAAGCGAAAGCUUUGCUAAUACCGCAUACGAUCUACGGCUGAACGCAGGGGACCGCAAGGCCUUGCGCGAACGGAACGGCCGAUUGCAGAUUAGGUAGUUGGUUGGAGAAAAGCUAAACAAGCCGACGAUCUGUAGCUGGUAUGAGAGGACGACCAGCCACACUGGGACUGAGACACGGCCCAGACUCCUACGGGAGGCAGCAGUGGGGAAUUUUGGACAAUGGGCGAAAGCCUGAUCCAGCCGUGCCGCGUGCAGGAUGAAGGCCUUCGGGUUGUAAACUGCUUUUGUACGGAACGAAAAGACUCUUUCUAAUAAAGAGGGUCCAUGACGGUACCGUAAGAAUAAGCACCGGCUAACUACGUGCCAGCCGCCGCGGUAACAC
rnacentral:rRNA from 1 species